UACGAAGGGGGCUAGCGUUGCUCGGAAUUACUGGGCGUAAAGGGCGCGUAGGCGGAUACUUAAGUCGGGGGUGAAAGCCCAGGGCUCAACCCUGGAACAGCCUUCGAUACUGGGUAUCUUGAGUACGGGAGAGGUGUGUGGAACUCCGAGUGUAGAGGUGAAAUUCGUAGAUAUUCGGAAGAACACCAGUGGCGAAGGCGACUCACUGGACACGUAUUGACGCUGAGGUGCGAAAGCGUGGGGAGCAAACAGG
rnacentral:rRNA from 1 species